AACAUCGCGCACCUGCGGGAACCUGCGGAAGGAUCAUUAAUGGUUGGUGGCUGUUGCUGACUAGUGUUUCUAGUAUGUGCACGCCACACCUUCAAUCCCACUUACACCUGUGCACCUUCUGUAAUAGAUCUAUGUGGAUACGGAGAUAUGAAAGUUUGCGCUCUCGUACUCUGUUGAAGCAGUCUACUACGUUUUUUUACACACACACAAUAGUCAUUGAAUGUAUUUUUUAUUCUUAUG
rnacentral:misc_RNA from 1 species